UACGGAGGGUGCAAGCGUUGUCCGGAUUCAUUGGGUUUAAAGGGUGCGCAGGCGGGACAUUAAGUCAGGGGUGAAAGACGGUUGCUCAACAAUCGCAGUGCCUUUGAUACUGGUGUUCUUGGGUAACCUUGAGGUAGGCGGAAUGGGUGGUGUAGCGGUGAAAUGACAUAGAUACCACCCAGAACUCCGAUUGCGAAGGCAGCCUACUGGAGGUCAACCGACGCUCAGGCACGAAAGCCGUGGGGAUCAAACAGGA
rnacentral:rRNA from 1 species